CGGAUUGUAGGCUGCGACCCGCCUACAUGAAGUUGGAAUUGCUAGUAAUCGCAGAUCAGAAUGCUGCGGUGAAUACGUUCCCGGGCCUUGUACACACCGCCCGUCACACCAUGGGAGCCGGUAAUACCCGAAGUCAGUAGUCUAACCGCAAGGGGGGACGCUGCCGAAGGUAGGAUUGGCGACUGGGGUGAAGUCGUAACAAGGUAGC
rnacentral:rRNA from 1 species